ensembl:ncRNA mir-282 mir-282 stem loop
AGUUUCCUUCUAAAUCUAGCCUCUACUAGGCUUUGUCUGUGCAUUCGAAAGCCGAUCAGACAUAGCCUAUAAGAGGUUAGGUGUACCAAGGCGAACA